rnacentral:lncRNA from 10 species
GAGCGGCUCGGGUUCCGCGCUGCCGGCAGGGCUUGGGGGCGCCUUAGAGCCGAACCCCGUUUUUUCAGGAAAGGGCGCUGCGACCACCCCCGUCCCGGGCCUCAGCCCCUCUGCUGCAGACCCUCGGGAUCGUCGCUGGAAAGAUUCUGAAGCUUGGCGGAGAGGGGUGUGUGAGUGGACACCAGUGAAGUAACGGUUUUUGUGUUACGAUGAUUUCUGUUUUCCUCUGCUGCCCUGUAAUGGCAGGAACUCGGAUAGUCUGGUCUUCAGACCAGGAGGACUCCCAGGAGAGAACGGAGAGCCAGUGUGCUGUGUGUCACGGUCCCUGGAUGAACGUUUGUGGAACUGGAUUGAAUUAAACAAGACGUGCAAAGCAAGUGGUUCACGAGGGUCUUGCUCCGUCGCCCAGUCUGGAGUGCAGUGGCAAGAUCUCUGCUCAGUGCAGCCUUGAACUCUCAGGCUCAAGAAAUCUUCCCGCCUCAGCCUCCCAAAGUGCUGGGAUUACAGAUAUUUACGGAGCAUCCCCAGCUGCUGGAUGCUGG